rnacentral:rRNA from 1 species
UGAGGAAUAUUGGUCAAUGGACGCAAGUCUGAACCAGCCAAGUAGCGUGCAGGAUGACGGCCCUAUGGGUUGUAAACUGCUUUUAUAUGGGGAUAAAGUGGGGAACGUGUUCCCUUUUGCAGGUACCAUAUGAAUAAGGACCGGCUAAUUCCGUGCCAGCAGCCGCGGUAAUACGGAAGGUUCGGGCGUUAUCCGGAUUUAUUGGGUUUAAAGGGAGCGUAGGCCGUUUGGUAAGCGUGUUGUGAAAUGUAGGAGCUCAACUUCUAGAUUGCAGCGCGAACUGUCAGACUUGAGUGCGCACAACGUAGGCGGAAUUCAUGGUGUAGCGGUGAAAUGCUUAGAUAUCAUGACGAACUCCGAUUGCGAAGGCAGCUUACGGGAGCGCAACUGACGCUAAAGCUCGAAGGUGCGGGUAUCGAACAGG